GACGGAGGAUGCAAGCGUUAUCCGGAAUUAUUGGGCGUAAAGCGUCCGCAGGUGGCUGUUCAAGUCUGCUGUCAAAGCGCAGAGCUUAACUCUGUACAGGCGGUGGAAACUGAAGAGCUGGAGUAUGGUAGGGGUAGAGGGAAUUCCCGGUGUAGCGGUGAAAUGCGUAGAUAUCUGGAGGAACACCGGUGGCGAAGGCGGCAUCCUGGACCAAUACUGACGCUGAGGAGCGAAAGCCAGGGGAGCAAACGGG
rnacentral:rRNA from 1 species